AACGAACGCUGGCGGCAGGCUUAACACAUGCAAGUCGAGCGCCCCGCAAGGGGAGCGGCAGACGGGUGAGUAACGCGUGGGAAUCUACCCAUCUCUGCGGAACAACUCCGGGAAACUGGAGCUAAUACCGCAUACGCCCUUCGGGGGAAAGAUUUAUCGGGGAUGGAUGAGCCCGCGUUGGAUUAGCUAGUUGGUGGGGUAAAGGCCUACCAAAGCGACGAUCCAUAGCUGGUCUGAGAGGAUGAUCAGCCACAUUGGGACUGAGACACGGCCCAAACUCCUACGGGAGGCAGCAGUGGGGAAUAUUGGACAAUGGGCGCAAGCCUGAUCCAGCCAUGCCGCGUGAGUGAUGAAGGCCUUAGGGUUGUAAAGCUCUUUCACCGAUGAAGAUAAUGACAGUAGUCGGAGAAGAAGCCCCGGCUAAUUUCGUGCCAGCAGCCGCAGUAA
rnacentral:rRNA from 1 species